GCCGUAGUGAUCGAUGUAGCGGCUCCGAAUGACAGCAAUAUCAGGAAGAAGGAACACGAGAAGCUGGAGAAAUACCAAGGGCUCAGAGAAGAGCUCGAGAGGAUGUGGAGGGUGAAGGUAACGGUGGUCCCCGUGGUAAUCGGAGCACUAGGUGCGGUGACUCCCAAGCUAGGCGAGUGGCUCCAGCAGAUCCCGGGAACAACAUCGGAGAUCUCUGUCCUGAAGAGCGCAGUCCUGGGAACAGCUAAGAUACUGCAGGACCCUCAAGCUCCCAGGCCUCUGGUAGAGGACCCGAGCUUGAAUUAUAGAGCACCCGCAGGGGCGAGAUGGGAAUUUUCUUUUUGAAUUUAUAUAAUGUGUAUAAAUAUAGUUGCUUUAGUAAACCAGCCUUAUAAACACUGAAGCACGCAGCAUGAAAGACAACGGGCCUUUCUUAAACUCUUUCUGAAGCUGGAUGUUGUGUGUUUGUGGCUGUUUUGACUUUUUAAAUCAGGAAUGAUUUCGCUCGAACAAACGUGCCGGAUACACAAACUCUUAUCAAGGUUUUGCUGUUACUCAGAGUGAGAAGGACAUUUGUUUGAGUGGCAGAUUCAUUUGUUGUAAUGAACUCAGUUCUUUCAUUGUUUUCACCAUUUCUUUCUUUCUUUUCUUUUUUUUUUGCUGACUACAUUUUUACAGCUGGAGCAGAGUUUUUGAAGUUGUUCUUUUUUUGUGGAUGUUUGCAUAAAUUAAAAUUUCAUGCUAUGCACUUAUUAUGGUUUGAAAAGGAUUGGGAUGAGUUCAUUGCCAAAAUGCUCGCUGUAGUGGAGGUGGUUAAGGAAGAUCUGGAGUUUAUUUAGCCUGAGCUGGUUUUUGCCCAUACAGCAUUUGGUAUCCUGAGGUUUUUGAGAAAAUGUGAGUUUUUGCAAGAAGGAACAGAGCUCGGUUUGUUACGGAGCUGGAUUUCCUGAAAGCAGUUUCUUUGAAGGACAUGACAGAUUUCUCCGUUUGUCUCUCCUGGUGACUCUGUGGUUUCAGUCUUUGGCACAUUUGUGUGGCUGUGUUUCACCAUCUGAUGGAUGUUGUUCUGUGACGUGAAGCUUGGUGAUUGGUGUGUUUUCUGAAUCUCGCUUUGGCCACACAGAAGGGAGAAGACAAGAGGAGAGUGUUUGACUCUCUAAGUUUGGGUUUGGGCAGGCUGUAGUGAUGUUAGGAAAGGUCAGAUCCUUAUUUAGGCACAGGUGGGUCGUAUUGGGGUCUUCAAUGUUCCAGCUAGCUGAAGUAAGUUUGCCACUAUCCAUCCAUCCAUCCAUCCAUUCGCUUCUCCUUUUCAGGGUCGCGGGGGGCGCUGGAGCCUAUCCCAGCUGUCAUAGGGUGAGAGGCGGGGUACACCCUGGACAGGUCGCCAGUCUGUCGCAGGGCCGACACACAGGGACAGACAACCAUUCACACUCACAUUCACACCUAGUGGCAAUUUGGGUUAUCCAAUUAACCUAUCCCCACAAGCUGCAUGUCUUUGGACGGUGGGAGGAAGCCGGAGUACCCGGAGGGAACCCACGCAAACACGGGGAGAACAUGCAAACUCCACACAGAAAGACCCCGGCCUGAUGGUGGAAUUGAACUCAGGACCUUCUUGCUGUGAGGCAACAGUGCUAACCACCGUGCCCAAGUUUGCCACUAUUUCAC
ensembl:lncRNA